CUCAGGAUGAACGCUGGCGGCGUGCCUAACACAUGCAAGUCGAACGAAGCACAUACGACGGAACUCUUCGGAGGGAAGAUGUAUGUGACUGAGUGGCGGACGGGUGAGUAACGCGUGGGUAACCUGCCUUGUACUGGGGGACAACAGUUGGAAACGACUGCUAAUACCGCAUAAGCGCACAGCUUCGCAUGAAGCAGUGUGAAAAACUCCGGUGGUACAAGAUGGACCCGCGUCUGAUUAGCUGGUUGGUGAGGUAACGGCCCACCAAGGCGACGAUCAGUAGCCGGCCUGAGAGGGUGAACGGCCACAUUGGGACUGAGACACGGCCCAAACUCCUACGGGAGGCAGCAGUGGGGAAUAUUGCACAAUGGGGGAAACCCUGAUGCAGCAACGCCGCGUGAGUGAAGAAGUAUUUCGGUAUGUAAAGCUCUAUCAGCAGGAAAGAAAAUGACGGUACCUGACUAAGAAGCCCCGGCUAACUACGUG
rnacentral:rRNA from 1 species